UGCCGAAACGCUCCUGUUCUGGAGCGUCGCGGGGUGAUUGGCCUCCCCCGCCUGAUGAUGGCAGGCCAGA
rnacentral:hammerhead_ribozyme from 1 species